AGGAUUAACGCUGGCGGCGUGCAUGAAACAUGCAAGUCGAGCGCGGUGUGAUGCGGGGUAACCCAAUUCACAUCUAGCGGCGAACGGGUGAGUAUCACGUGAGCAACCUGCCCCGAAGAUUGGGAUAACACCGGGAAACCGGUGCUAAUACCGAAUACCCCUCACACAUCGCAUGAUGAGUGAAGGAAAUGUUUUUUCGCUUCGGGAGGGGCUCGCGGUCCAUCAGCUUGUUGGCGGGGUAACGGCCCACCAAGGCUACGACGGAUAGC
rnacentral:rRNA from 1 species